AGUUCGAUCAUGGCCUGGGGAUUGAACGCUGGCGGGAUGCUUUGGCUACAUGCAAGUCGAACGGGCAGCACGGACUGGUCUGGUGGCGAGCGGCGAAACGGUGAGAAUGUACUGGAACGUGCCGGCGGAAGUGGGGUGGAGAACACGCGAAAGCGUAGCUAAUACCGUAUACGCCCUUCGGGGGAAAGCGGGGACCUUCGGGCCUCGUACUAUUAGAGCGGGGCUGGAUAUCGGAUUAGCCAGUUGAGGGUGGCUCACCAAGGCGACGAUCCGUAGCUGGUUUGAGAGGACGACCAGCCACACUGGGACCUCGAGAUGGCCCAGACCUACGGGAGGCAGCAGUGGGGAAUUUUGGGAUGGUCAAUGGGGGAAACCCUGAUCCAGCCAUCCCGCGUGUGCGGUGAAGGCCUUCGGGUUGUAAAGCACUUUUGGCAGGAAGAAACGGCACGGGAUAAUACCCCGUGCAACUGACGGUACCUGCAGAAUAAGCACCGGCUAACUACGCCAGCAGCCGCGGUAAUACGUAGGGUGCAAGCGUUAAUCGGAAUUACUGGGCGUAAAGCGUGCAGGCGGUUCGGAAAGAAAGAUGUGAAAUCCCAGAGCUUAACUUUGAACCGAGCUUUCAAUCACGAGCUAGAGGGUGUCAGAGGGAGAAUUCUAUGUAGCAGUGAAAUGCGUAGAGGAACACCGAUGGCGAAGGCAGCCUCCUCAGAUAACACUGACGCUCAUGCACGAAAGCGUGGGGAGCAAACAGAUCAGAUAACCCGCAGUCCACGCCCUAAACGAUGUCAACUAGCUGUUCGGGGCCUUCGGGCCUUGGUAGCGCAGCUAACGCGUGAAGUUGACCGCCUGGGAGUACGGUCGCAAGAUUAAAAACCCAGUAUGAAUUGACGGACCCGCACAAGCAGAUGAUGUGGAUUAAUUCGAUGCAACGAAAAACCUUACCUACCCUUGACACGUCUGGAAUCCCGAAGAGAUUUGGGAGGUCACAAGAGAACCGGAACACAGGUGCUGCAUGGCUGUCGUCAGCUCGUGUCGUGAGAUGUUGGGUUAAGUCCCGCAACGAGCGCAACCCUUGUCAUUAGUUGCUACGAAAGUGGGCACUGAAUGAGACCGCCGGUGACAAACCGGAGGAAGGUGGGGAUGACGUCAAGUCCUCAUGGCCCUUAUGGGUAGGGCUUUGACGUCAUACAAUGGUCGGGGACAGAGGGUCGCCAACCCGCGAGGGGGAGCCAAUCCCAGAAACCCGAUCGUAGUCCGGAUCGCAGUUCGCAACUCGACUGCGAAGUCGGAAUCGCUGGGGUAAUCGCGGAUCAGCAUGUCGCGGUGAAUACGUUCCCCGGUCUGCACACCGCCCGUCACACCAUGGGAGUGGGUUUUACCAGAAGUAGUUAGCCUUGAACCCGGUAAGGAGGGCGAUUACCACGGUAGGAUUCAUGACUGGGGUGAAGUCGUAACAAGGUAA
rnacentral:rRNA from 1 species